rnacentral:rRNA from 1 species
CUGGACUGAGACACGGUCCAGACUCCUACGGGAGGCAGCAGUGGGGAAUAUUGCACAAUGGGCGAAAGCCUGAUGCAGCCAUGCCGCGUGUAUGAAGAAGGCCUUCGGGUUGUAAAGUACUUUCAGUUGUGAGGAAGGGGGUAGCGUUAAUAGCGCUAUCUCUUGACGUUAGCAACAGAAGAAGCACCGGCUAACUCCGUGCCAGCAGCCGCGGUAAUACGGAGGGUGCGAGCGUUAAUCGGAAUUACUGGGCGUAAAGCGCAUGCAGGUGGUUCAUUAAGUCAGAUGUGAAAGCCCGGGGCUCAACCUCGGAACUGCAUUUGAAACUGGUGAACUAGAGUACUGUAGAGGGGGGUAGAAUUUCAGGUGUAGCGGUGAAAUGCGUAGAGAUCUGAAGGAAUACCAGUGGCGAAGGCGGCCCCCUGGACAGAUACUGACACUCAGAUGCGAAAGCGUGGGGAGCAAACAGGAUUAGAUACCCUGGUAGUCCACGCCGUAAACGAUGUCUAC